ACUGUCCUUGUUGUAUAUUUCAAAAGUAUUUAGCUAGAACGUGCUUAAAAAAUGACCAAAGGACCACCACGACUGGGUAAAUAGGAUUAGAGAGAGUGUCUUGAUGAUUAUACACCUCUUGAGAUGACCACAGAGGAUUUGGCUCAGAUCUUCAAACAAAGCCUCAAGCAAGCAAAGGAUAGUGGAGCAACAGCCCCAUGAAGCAUAAAUCCUCUAGUUUUACUCAAUCAGAUAAGUUGUUCUUGCAGAUUUCUCAAGCUUUUUUCUGCUAUAUGUCCCAUCCCUUAUGCCCAAAUAUCCACAAGAAGAUUGUAACAAUUUGAGGAAAAAUCUAGAAGCUUUGUCAACUGAUGGUUAGUGAAAUAAAUAAGAAGACUCAACUCUGAAUGAUGGCAGUGUGGUGAAAAUGGAAGGUGAAGAGAAAUAUGCUCCAUAUUUCUGCAUAUCUUAAAUGUACCAGGAAGAAAGAUAUCAAUGGUGAAAUGACAGACAAUUCAAACUUUUAUUUCGCUUGUGUGGAAGACCAGACUUCUCAACACUUCUCACAAUAAUGUUUCACAUGCAUUUUAAAGAAAACAAUGAAUUGAAAACACGGGUUGGAGGAACUAAUCGUUGUUAAUAUAAAACAAUGGACUUCUAAAAAACAAUUCAGGUGCUCACUGGAAUCAUGAAUUAGAUUUGGACCCCACACGGAAGGGAAAUAACUGAAGUGUGGAAGGAGAUAGAUGGUCAUAGCCUGCAAGUAACCCUUCAUCACCACUGAAGGAAGCACAAAUCCUAUCCACUUACAAUCAUUUCAGGUUAGGCCAUCAGAAUGAUUACAAUAAGUUCUAUGACAUAAGAUUCAAAUUGCAUAGGAAAUAGAACAAACCUAAAGGUAGAUAAUAUAUGUAUUCAUGGUUUAAAAAGAAAACAAUC